rnacentral:rRNA from 1 species
GAUGAACGCUGGCGGCGUGCCUAAUACAUGCAAGUCGAGCGAACGGACGAGAAGCUUGCUUCUCUGAUGUUAGCGGCGGACGGGUGAGUAACACGUGGAUAACCUACCUAUAAGACUGGGAUAACUUCGGGAAACCGUAGCUAAUACCGGAAUAAUAUUUUGAACCGCAUGGUUCAAAAGUGAAAGACGGUCUUGCUGUCACUUAUAGAUGGAUCCGCGCUGCAUUAGCUAGUUGGUAAGGUAACGGCUUACCAAGGCAACGAUGCAUAGCCGACCUGAGAGGGUGAUCGGCCACACUGGAACUGAGACACGGUCCAGACUCCUACGGGAGGCAGCAGUAGGGAAUCUUCCGCAAUGGGCGAAAGCCUGACGGAGCAACGCCGCGUGAGUGAUGAAGGUCUUCGGAUCGUAAAACUCUGUUAUUAGGGAAGAACAUAUGUGUAAGUAACUGUGCACAUCUUGACGGUACCUAAUCAGAAAGCCACGGCUAACUACGUG